GACGGUGCAAACUUUUAAGUGUGGGGAGGUUUGGUCGUCUGACCAAUCGGCCAUUUUUGGGUAACAAAUCUCUAAUCCCAAUACUUUCACAUUUUAAUUUUUCUAUU